GUAGUCUGCAACCCGACUACAUGAAGCCGGAAUCGCUAGUAAUCGCGGAUCAGAAUGCCGCGGUGAAUACGUUCCCGGGUCUUGUACACACCGCCCGUCACACCAUGGGAGUCGGGAAUGCCCGAAGUCAGUGACCCAACCCAAGGGAGGGAGCUGCCGAAGGCAGGCCUGGUGACUGGGGUGAAGUCGUAACAAGGUACC
rnacentral:rRNA from 1 species